rnacentral:lncRNA from 1 species
GAUGGACAUGGCCUUGUCUGAGGAGGGAAACCAGCUUGUAAGUCAAUAAGAGAGAACGCCAUGGAGACCUUCGAAAGGAUGGUGCAUUAGUGUUAACAUGGAGCUGUUCCAUUAGUUCAUGCAAAUGUAAAAUUCUAUGUUCUCUUUUGUUCAGGAGAGGCUGCUGGAACAGGUGAAGGAAAUGCAGAUGAAAUGCGAAAAGGGACUGAAGUCUGUGAAAGAUGAGGCUUUGCUGUGUGCUGGUUCCUCACAAAACGGCAGGUAUAUGCAACAAGCAAUAUCUCUCAUAUGAUUCUCUCAGUUGCUUCAUUAUGCUUAUCAUUGUCAUCCAAUUAAUGAUCAGAGAACGUAUAAGCAUUUUAUGGAUCAAUCUUCUUAAACAAUUCUGCUCCUGAUGGCAGGUUGAAGCAGGGGGACGCUUUGGAGGGGAACUAUGCGGUGAGGGCUGCAGCAGCAUCCUUAUACUCUGCGUGCAGCUUUAUCAUGUCAAUGGAUAAUGUUUCGUGCUUUUGAGCACGGCCAAGUCAAAUUCAAUUUGGAUGGCGUCUGGAGCAUGCAUUUUCCCUUCUUUAUUGUGAACCGUUCUGAUUUCUGACCAUGUAUCACAAAGAAUAGGGCAGUAGCUUUACCCCCUCCUGCCCAUUGUAUUUCAUUCGGCCAACUGCUUGCUCAUAAGCAAUUCUCUUCACGUUGGAUGCAAAAAAAAAAAAAAUGAAGCUGCUAUGAUUCGGUAUUCAUUAUCAUCAACAUGUUAAAAAAUAUUCAAGGAUUUGGGCCCAAGGAGCAAUUUGCAAUCGCUUGCCCUGUUAAUAAUAGGCUUUGUGGUUCUUGCUGCAAGGUAUGAUGUAAAACAUAAGAUGAAGGGAGUUUGGAAAUCAUGGAGUUUCGAUUUUCAUUUCUUUUCCAGAUUUGCCUCUGUUUGCAAGUGUAGUAAUGCAAUAGAACACCGAAAAGGAUGAUGAUGUCUUCCUUCACAUGCUAUAGCGCUUCAAUCGAUUGCAAGGAUAAUAAAAAGUCAUCAACGAGGGGAGUUUUAAUACAUUCUAAAAAAUGCAAAAUCCAUGGUAAAAAUAAAAUUUUCAUAAUCUUCCAGCUAAUAUUCCACAAAAUAACUCAUGUGUUGGAAUCUUGGUUUUCGUACUAGACACUGUUUCCACACCGGUCCAAUGUUAUUUGACAAUCCCAACUUGUUGGAAUCAUUUGUUACCUCUGCAAAUGAAAAUGUGAAGGUUUGACAAUAUGUAUUCUAUAAUCUCUUGAAGGCAUCCUAAUGAAUUGUUUCAAGAUAAAAAUUUCUCAAUUUUAGAAUGUGAGACUUUCUCUUAAGAGUGAGAAAUCCUGAUCCCAACAAGAGCUAGAGUGCACAAAAAAUUAGCCAAUCUGUGCAAAAUGUGUCAGGGUGAUAAUAAAUUAUUGUCUUAAUGUCUUUUUGUUCAUUGAUUUCUGUCGGAAAUACCAAUUUCACAAACAUAAAAUAUAUUCAAGAAAGCCAAGUAAAAAAAACUUGACAUAUUGAGAAACAAAAGGAAAUAAUAAUAGUACAAAUGUCGGCACGUGUCAACAAAUGUCAUCAUGCCUCCCAACAAAGGUUUUGUCUAUGGCAAAACCUUUCAAAAAAAUUGGAAAAGAGCGUAAAAAAUAAGUCAUUUUGUAGCCUUGGAGAGGGUUCGUUUCCAAGAGUUAGUUCGACAUAUAUUUUUGAAGGGUCAUUGAUUUGAGGAUCCAAAUGAACUGUCUGAAGUUCAAGCUUUCAAAUCAACUUCUUUAAAGCUCAUUAAAACCCAAGUGGUUUUCUCAAACACGACAUUCAAGCAUGCCACUUUUCUGGAACUAGUUCAUUCAUAAUCUUGGAGCUUACAGUGUCUUUUAAAAUCUUUAUUCUGGUCUAAGAAAAUUUAUUAUUCAUCAAAGCCGAUUUAUCCAUAAAUGAUUUAAUAGUAGCUUGGUGUAAAUCACUUCAUUCAUCAAGGUGUGGAAUUCUGGAUAACGACUAAUUAAGAAGCGCAGGAUAGGAAGACCAACGGACAAAAAUAUCAUGCCACUGCGCAGUUGGAUACAUUGCCGAUCCUUUUACUUGUAACCUCUGAGCUUAAGAUGAAAUAAUACAGAACUGCGGGACCAGAAAAAAAUGACUAAUGUCUCAAGUAUCUCAAAAAUGAGUAGCAUAUGACUAAAACACAUUAAUACGGGAUGUUACAAGUCAACCUAUUUGAUGAUCGUAUUAGUAGAUUCCUUUAAUUUCCUGAGGAUAGAAGAUGCAGAGGACCAAGAAACGAUUACAUAACACCCUCAGCCUACAUCACAGGUAUAAGCAUAUCAGAUAUUCAUCUCAAUAAAAAAUAAGAGGGGAUACAGACGGAUAAAUCUGAGCAAAAGAUAUCUGGUAAUUGGGAUUGUACGUAAGGAGAGUUGAUCUGAAACAAAACAUUCGUAACAAAGGUAGAACCACGUAGUUAAUCAGCAAGAACUGAAUUCCAAGGCAUUCUUCUUAAAAGCCCCCGAACACUUAACCAUUGCACAUAUAUGUAAAUCCAUACCAGUGAGAAUGAAGAAAGGAAAGAAAGAAGAAAAGAAAAAAAGAAGGGAAAUUCUUGAGGUGGCUUCACCAACCAGAGGAUAGAUGACCCCAACAAUAAACAGCACCGUCAAUACCCAAAGGUCAUAGAAUGUUAUUGUUUUCCUUAUUUUUCGGGAAUGGAAUUUGUAGACACAUCUAACAAUCCCUUGCACUACAUUACCAGCUUGCCACACAGGAAUAAACCCCCAAACCAUAAUCAUACAUACGUGUUUUUAAUUAGCUUACAAAAAAUAAUGAAAGAGAGAGCCAAAUAAUUAUCUCUCAAUUGGGAGUGAGUUAUAAAUAAAGGGUCAAACAAAAUUAUAAUCAUCUUUCAUGAUCAACGAUUCAUUUUUUCCGACUGUACUGACUUAUCCAAAAAAUCUUUGGGUUUUACACAACAUAAUUCAAGGAAAGAAAUAAAGGAAAGUGAGACAGAAGAUUCUUUGGGCGGUGUAUGGACCGAGGGAGCACAGACGACAUUGACAACUAAGAACACCAUCGAUUCCCAAAGUUUGUCAAAAUGUUUCCAUUUUCCUUCAAAUCUCUGAUCAUGGAAGGUCUAAAGGCAUAAUAUCAUUUUUCUUCACACUACAUCACCGGGUUAUCUCUCUGAAAGAACAAGAAAACUCCCCCCAGAUUCAAACAAGUCUGAGCAAAAAGGAUACAGAAACGAGGAGGCAGUACCAAAGAUAAAUACAACGCAUGGAAAUCCUUCGGGAAAUAAAAUGCACUAAAAUUAAAAGCUGGCUGAGAAAUAAAAUGCAUGUUUCCACCAUAAUAACUCGACACUGAAAGGGAGAGAUCAAAUCAUUUAAUUAAAAUAUAUGGACCUAAUCCUCAUAGUGCUGAAUAAUUUAGACUGAGAUGACCAUAAUUUUUCACAUGAAAUUGGAACUCCAGAUUUUAGGCUAGGUAGUGAUCUUCAGUUGAAAUUGCUUAAAAUUGUACCUCCACUUGAGGGAUUAUAGAAUCUCACAAGGAAAGGACAAAUUAAAUCACACAGCUAAGCUUUAUUGACCUACUCUACUAAGCAUAGAAUUGAUCUUGAGUUGGACGCUCCAAUUCUUUCUGAAACAUUAGGAUUUUCAAAUAUCGCUUUUGUGAAAAUAGAUAAAUACAUUAUAGUCCAGUCUCAGGCAUCCUGCAAGAUGUCAUGCCUACUGGCAUGUGAUAAUUGUCCCCAAGUUACUACCUCAAUGGCAACAAUUACAUAAAAAAAUACUAGAAAAAAUUAGGAAUAACUGUGCGCAACAAACACAUUCCAAAAUGCAGGUGAGUUUCUCCGGUCAUUACCUUCUCUCAAAUAUUAAAUUAUCAAAUAAUGCCGCUCCAUCAUUAGAUGGUUUUUUAAAGUUUUUCACGAAAUAACUAUUUAUCGUUACCCAUCCAAAGGAGUAAAAUGAGGCAAAAAGCAUGAUAAUACAGUAUUUCAUUCUUUUAAUUCAUUUCGCGAGCCUAAGUUAUACAAUUUUAUUCUUUCUACGGGAAAUUUUUGUGAUACAAUGCAUUCAGUAUUAAGACCCUUCCAUAAUCAGUAGACCACAGCCUUCCUAGCCCGAGACUCAUAACUCAUUCUAUACCCUUACAACGAGGAGAACUGUCAGACAAAACACAAGCGACAGGAGAAAUGGAUUCUGUUCUUGUUGACGGCAGGGCAUCUGUUUUUAAGUUUACACUGUGAAUUGAAUCUCUCAUAAUUCAUAAGGUCAAACUGACUUAAAAUUUUCAAUUCAUCGAUCCCAGGUAACAUGAAUACAUGAAGAGAAUACAUCGAUUUUCAAGUGCAUCUUUGAAUCAGAUUUCACAGAGACGCGCUUCCUCGGACCAUAGCCGAAUCCAUUUUCCUUUCCAAUGCUUUAUAAGUUCUUUCAUGCGGCGUCCCACACGUAUGGUCACACUACGUCACAAACCUGGGCCUGAAAUACACGGCACCUGAGAGCAAUGGCUAACCUGUCUCACAAUGAAACGCCUUCUUCAUUACCAUUUCCAGAUUCCACCCUUUGUCAACGAUCCUUCACUGGGUCCUAAAAUUCAAGAACAUGAGCCUCCCGGAGCCAUGCGACGGUUUCAGAAUAUUGAAACAUAAAACAUGGCCCCUUACCCGUUGAGUACCGGUGUUCAUGUUCGUCCAUGCUCAUCGAAUCGCGCAUGGCAUCAGUACAACGACCGCUGUCCGGCUACUCCCCUCUCGGAAGAAUCGAUGAUCGCGACCCAUCGGGGCCCUAGCCAUACUCUUUCUCUGAGAUCGUCCAUGACGCUAGCCGCAUCCCCGAGACCUUCCUCUCCACGGCAGGGACCCGACGCCGUCCUCUCUCUAUCUGCAACUGAAUCAGAAACCUUCCCAGAAUUCGAUGCGACAGAAAGAGACCCCACAUGACGAAGCCCAUGAGAAGCCAUAAAAGAUCUCCAUUGAGUGAUCAUGUUCAAGGAAAUCGUCGCUGCCAGAGACGGGAUUUUAUAGAACAACCCGGACUCUGGAAAUAUCGACGCCACUGAAGGC